rnacentral:rRNA from 1 species
UCCUGACUGACCGAUAGUGAACCAGUACCGUGAGGGAAAGGCGAAAAGAACCCCGGCGAGGGGAGUGAAAAAGAACCUGAAACCGUGUACGUACAAGCAGUGGGAGCACGCUUAGGCGUGUGACUGCGUACCUUUUGUAUAAUGGGUCAGCGACUUAUAUUCUGUAGCAAGGUUAACCGAAUAGGGGAGCCGAAGGGAAACCGAGUCUUAACUGGGCGUUAAGUUGCAGGGUAUAGACCCGAAACCCGGUGAUCUAGCCAUGGGCAGGUUGAAGGUUGGGUAACACUAACUGGAGGACCGAACCGACUAAUGUUGAAAAAUUAGCGGAUGACUUGUGGCUGGGGGUGAAAGGCCAAUCAAACCGGGAGAUAGCUGGUUCUCCCCGAAAGCUAUUUAGGUAGCGCCUCGUGAAUUCAUCUCCGGGGGUAGAGCACUGUUUCGGCAAGGGGGUCAUCCCGACUUACCAACCCGAUGCAAACUGCGAAUACCGGAGAAUGUUAUCACGGGAGACACACGGCGGGUGCUAACGUCCGUCGUGAAGAGGGAAACAACCCAGACCGCCAGCUAAGGUCCCAAAGUCAUGGUUAAGUGGGAAACGAUGUGGGAAGGCCCAGACAGCCAGGAUGUUGGCUUAGAAGCAGCCAUCAUUUAAAGAAAGCGUAAUAGCUCACUGGUCGAGUCGGCCUGCGCGGAAGAUGUAACGGGGCUAAACCAUGCACCGAAGCUGCGGCAGCGACGCUUAUGCGUUGUUGGGUAGGGGAGCGUUCUGUAAGCCUGCGAAGGUGUGCUGUGAGGCAUGC